GAGGAGCUGUCCAAAAAAAGAUAAACAGUACAACUCUGUCAGCCACGUAACACAAAAGCAUUGUUUGCUGUAAUUUACUCCUUAAAAUGGAAGAGUUGAAUGAACAAAAGGGUGUUGUACUCUAAAGACAUGAUUGUACUGAUACAUCAUUUUUUAUAUGCAGAACAUUUUAAAGACAGAAACAGGCAAUGACAAUUUUGCUGUCUUCUUGACAUCUAAGAGCUUCAUAAAAAUGUGCAUCAACAUUAAGACAGGUUUUUCAAUGAUGUGUUUUGCUCAGCUGAAAGCCUUAUCCCCAUAGCUGACUUGAGGUUUGGUAGAGAACUGAAGACAUCUUCAGCAGGGUGUGAAAAUCUUACCUGUGAAAAGCUAUUAAAAUGUUUUGUGCCUUAUAUUUUGUUUCUAACCCCUCUCUUGCCAUGAAUAUGAUGCUGCUGCAUCAUCUUGCUCUUUGUAAUUGGUCUUAUUCUUAUUUUAAUGAAGUACAUAUCAUGAAAUUGUCACCAAGGGUGUGUUGUCUGAAGCAAAAGUGUACUUACCACCAUCAGUCAUACUGCUUCCUUUCUCUUCUGUUUCCUGCUUUACUUUCUCUAAUGUUUCUGUAAUCUUAAGAGAUUUUUUCCUUAAUUAAACCAGAUUAAUAUAGAAUUUUUAAAAAGUCUCUGCUGAAUAACUGCUUUUAUUAAAAAAAUUAACUAAUCCAUUUUACUUGUUAUAUAAAGAGGAAUGAUUUUUCAAACAUUCAGAAAUUUUUAAUUUAACUAAUUUAACUAAAUUAAUGUUGUUACAUUACAGAAAAAAUUACAGAAAAAGGGUAACAAUUUGACCAAACACCAUGGUGUUACUGAAAAAUCUGCGCAUCCCCAAUAAAAAACAACAAUAUAAGUGUUUCAGUGUGAUGCUGGAUGGAAGAACAAAGGAACCAAUAUCUCUACAGAUCAAGAUUCAGCAAAUAACCAUGCCCACUGUUCUUCUGGAAGCAUCAGGAUUGUGGCAUGUUACACUGGAAACCUAAGAAACAGCACUGCAGCAUAAGAAGGUGCAGCAGUCCAGCCUGCUGGCACUGGCACAGUCAUUACUGUUACCAGGAAAAGAAUGGAAAGAAGAAGAGGCAGAAAUACCAAAACUUAGUUUUGGUAACAGGAUACAUUUAGAAAGGGGAAAAUUAUUUCCAGCUUCAAGAUCAUAGGAAGCAUACAUGGACUCCAGGGUGGGGGCUGAGAAAAGGUGCUGUGAAUUGGCCCUGCACACCAGGAGAACAAACCAAGAAGUAUUAAGGUCCACAUUUCUGAACAAAACAAGACAUGGAGAAUUUAUGAUAUGGAGCUUAUGAAGAGACAUAGUACCUGGGACAAGCUGGAAGAUCAAAGCUACCCCAUAUUUCCUUCAGAGCUCAACAGUAUUACAAAAAUAAACCAACUAACCAACAAAACCCAAACCCUAAACCUAAAGCCUCUGACAUCAAAUGGCCCAUUAUCAAUAGUUGUAUGGUAAUUGUAUUUUUUAUGUAUUUCUUAAAGCUCUACCUUAAAAAUAGAGCUCCAUCAAAACAAAAGCCAAACCACAACGAGACCUCAACACAGCUUUCAAGAUAUUGUUUGCACAAUGUAUUUGAAGUUACAGAAUGAUGCCACAUCUUAAGUGUGCAGAAUAACACAACUGAAACUGAGGCAAUUGCUUUUUUCUUGCCCAUGAGACCACACACCAUGUUCACAUACUCUAUAAAUCUGUUAUAGUCUCAAAAUCCCCUUCUUCUGUGAGUAUGAUCACCUGAGAGCUCAUCACCCAUAAGUAACGAUGCUUUUUGUGUGCAUUAACCUUCAUUUCUCUAUACUGUAUUUCAUCUGCCAUUUUUUCACCCAGACACUUCACCCUUAUACACCUUGUCCCCCUCUUGACUCUUUUCCACCAAAGUGAAAUUUCAUCAUCCACCUCCUUUCUACACAAAUCACAAAAGCUGCAAUAACACAGGUCUUAGGGUAAAAUCCUUCAAGACUCACUGAAAACCUUGCAGCUUAUUUCUCUUUCCUCUACUUUACCCAGUUUUUAACUAACUGGGACCACUAUUUUCUUCUGGCAUGUCUGACCCCGAGUCCCCUGAAUACUUGCAAGAAAUUAAGACUAUAUAAAGACUAUCUUUUGCUAAUGGACAAUACAUAUUUGCACAGCAUUUAGAAGAACACACCACCAGAACAAGAAGACUGGUUAUCAGAAGUGAGAAGCCAGACUGUCAGAUGUCCUUGCACACCCAGCCUCACUGCCCACUGCUGGCCACCUAAUACAGGCUAUCCCUGCUAGGCUUGUCUCUGUCAGCCUCAUCAUUUUUAUUCAGAAGACUCAAAACGAAAGAACAAUCAGUGAACCGCAUCAUUAACAUUUAAUUGCUGAAAAUACUGCUAAAUUCAAUUAUGGAUACAGCUAAUAUCAAUAUACUGGCAGCAACAAUGGACUGGGAAAAAAAUUACAUUGGCAUGUAAUUAAUCCCUGUAGAACUACGAGGGGCUCUAAAACUGAGCAUCCUUCUGGUAUAAACUGCCUGGUAAUGCAAUACCUAGUAAAGGAAUAACACCUCAGUGUUUUAUUAACACACAUACAUUCCAAAGAGUUAAAAGAACACAUUAGUUAUGAAAAUCAUGGCCUAGGACAAUACCUGAGAACAAACCCAGAGAUUCUUUGAAGGAUUUAAACUGUGCUUUAGUUAACUGUUUCAUCCCCACUUCCCAAUUUAAGAAGCUUAGACCUUAACAAGAUAGAGAAAAGAGCAGACAGCUGUUUUCCUAUUUUAACCCUUUAGUUUAACAUCGAGAGUAGAUUUAUCAGUAGAAAAGAAACAAUUCUGAAUUUCUGUGUUUUUAAUGCAUAGUUAGAUUCCACUGCACAUAAGAACAUACACUCUGUCUUGAAGAGUUAAUCUUAUCUGAAAAGCAACAAAAAACCCUACAGAGAAUCUGACAAUGCAGGAAUAGAGCUGCAGGAAAAAAACUUAAACAGCUAAUUGAAAAGGCUUCUUAAACAAAGCCAAACAAAAUGAACAGUGAAUAAAUAUUUCCUCAUAGUUGACCAAUACUAAUAUACCAAAUAAACCUACUGCAACAUCCUCUUCCCAUUUACUAAGUGUUAAUUCUGCAUCAUCUUCUGUUAUUUCUUCUUCUUCUGGCUCUUCUGUUGGGUAUGCUGGCCUGAAAUUAAUUCAAAGAAGAGCAGAGUUUUUAAACACAAUAAAUUGUAAAUACCUCUGCAAACAAAACAUUUCAUGAGAAAAAUGGAUGAUAUGGAACAUACCUAGACAGUGAUUAAUUUUCACAACUGAAAUAAAUAUAUACUCUGCCUUGAAAGUCUCGUUCAUCUUGGACUGUCUUAAAAGUAAAGGCAGGACAGUACAUUUGCACUACAAAGUCAUCUAGGAAGUAAAUUUUGGGGUUUUUCUCUAUUGGUCUAAGCUCUUAAAAUUCAAGUGCAAGUCACCACAGGCUUAUUUGCAGCCUACAGUGGAAUUUGUGUACUAAAGAGAAGUAAGAGUAAAAUAUUUCCUAGGUAGAAAUUACUUUCCUAUAUCCAUUUCAAAACCCACUGGAGGAAAAUAAUAAAAUAAAGAACACUUUUAAAGAUAUUUUCAUAUACUUGAGAUUAUCUGUCAUGUAAUUUGUCCUAAGGUUUCCUUCAGAUUAAAUAAAAUUACUCUAGUCUACUUGUAACAUGAUCAUACUGUGCACAACCCAAGAAAUUUACUACUGAUUGACAGAACCUAAAAGGAUAUUACAUGUUUCAACUUAAAUAUCAGAUUAACAAGGAGUUAUGUGUAGGGAAAUAACAACAACAACAAAAAAAGUCAUCAGUUAAAUGUUAAUUAGCAAAGUCUAUAAUGGUCCAAACUCAACCUUGCUGACCACAGGCCAGUUGUGUGAAAUUGCAUUAGGAAUUAAUUGGUCACCCUGCUUCAAGCCUAGUUAACUUUCCCAUCUCAUGAAAUGUCAAGUAAAAUGUUUUUAGUCAUUCCUAUGUUUUAUCUUACCACUACAACUUACAUCUGUCUGCUGGAAAUCAAAGCAUAAGGGAGGAUGCUUAGAAGUGUACUGUACCUUUUCCAGCUAAACCCAGUGUGUUUCAAGGCUUCUUCAGCUAAACAAUCAAGAACAUAGCACACCUGCUCACCGCAGCCUGUCUUUAAUUUUGAGGGAGGAAAAUCCACAGGCCUUCCCUAAAAUAAAGAGACAGGCUGUUUACUAAUGGCCUAACAACCCAAAUUUCCUCAAAGGAAGCUCCAGUGAGGCAACAGAAGGAAAAGCAAACAAAGCCAAGGAACAGAGGCAGCGUAGAAAUCUUUAAGCAUAUGGUAAGAGCAUACUCCCAGGUAGCAGAAGAGGCAGAAGCCACAAGGGAUCUGGAUGGUCAAGCACACAAGUGACAAGGCAAAGUAAGGACAGCUACAGAGAAACUCAAGUAUUGAGACUUAACUACCAACUUUUCAACAGUGUCCUGUUUGCUCUAGAUUUUACUUCUAAAAUAUUCUAAUUUAUUGCUGUCAUGUAGAAUAAACAUAGUGGUUUGAUACAGUUUAAUUCCUUCAGAGAACAGUGUCCUUAACAUCAUUCACAGCUGCACCAGAGUAUAAUCUUCCAUAAGAUCAUACUUCUUGUCAGUUGAUAUAGUCUCCUGACCUUUGGAGUUUGGCUUUUUAUCUUCCUUUUUCUUUUUUUAAUUAAAAAAAUCUCAGUAGUUCCUGGCAGUUUGUGCAACCUUUUACUCCUUAAAAGAAAAAAAAAAGAAGAAAACACAAACACUAUUCUAAACCACUUCCUACACUAAAAAUUAAGUCAUUGACUUUGGUCAGAGCAGGAUCACAGACUGUGUAAACCUUCCAGAUGAAAUCUCUGAAAAUCAUGCUACUAUAAAUGAGCAACGUAUGUGGCACUACAAAAGGUAAGCCUAGUUUAAUCCAUUUUACAGACUGCAGAACAAAACUAACUGGAAUCAUUUAUAAGACCAUUUUUGUAGUGCUAAAAAAACAGCAAGUAGGUACAGCCUAUGUAAACUUCCAAUUAACUAAGCAACAUGGUACAAACUUACAGCUACGAAAAGUCUGUCCCGUCCUCGGGACCAGACCCAGCAGGAGGACAGGGUGUGACUGCUGUUAUUUCUGAGGGGAUUGCAG